rnacentral:rRNA from 1 species
GAUGAACGCUGGCGGCGUGCUUAACACAUGCAAGUCGAACGGAAAGGCUCCUGCUUGCAGGGGUACUCGAGUGGCGAACGGGUGAGUAACACGUGGGUGAUCUGCCCUGCACUUCGGGAUAAGCCUGGGAAACUGGGUCUAAUACCGGAUAGGACGAUGGUUUGGAUGCCAUUGUGGAAAGUUUUUUCGGUGUGGGAUGAGCUCGCGGCCUAUCAGCCUGUUGGUGGGGUAAUGGCCUACCAAGGCGUCGACGGGUAGCCGGCCUGAGAGGGUGUACGGCCACAUUGGGACUGAGAUACGGCCCAGACUCCUACGGGAGGCAGCAGUGGGGAAUAUUGCACAAUGGGCGCAAGCCUGAUGCAGCGACGCCGCGUGGGGGAUGACGGCCUUCGGGUUGUAAACUCCUUUCGCUAGGGACGAAGCGCAAGUGACGGUACCUGGAGAUGAAGCACCGGCUAACUACGUG